rnacentral:rRNA from 1 species
GACGAACGCUGGCGGCGUGCCUAAUACAUGCAAGUCGAGCGGAGCACUUCGGUGCUUAGCGGCGGACGGGUGAGUAACACGUAGGCAACCUGCCUAUAAGACUGGGAUAACUAUCGGAAACGAUAGCUAAGACCGGAUAACUGGUUUUCUCGCAUGAGAGAAUCAUGAAACACGGAGCAAUCUGUGGCUUAUAGAUGGGCCUGCGGCGCAUUAGCUAGUUGGUAGGGUAACGGCCUACCAAGGCGACGAUGCGUAGCCGACCUGAGAGGGUGAACGGCCACACUGGGACUGAGACACGGCCCAGACUCCUACGGGAGGCAGCAGUAGGGAAUCUUCCGCAAUGGACGCAAGUCUGACGGAGCAACGCCGCGUGAGUGAUGAAGGUUUUCGGAUCGUAAAGCUCUGUUGCCCUAGACGAACAGCAGCAGGAGUAACUGCCUGUUGUGUGACGGUAUAGGAGAAGAAAGCCCCGGCUAACUACGUGCCAGCCGCCGCCGUAACAC